GUGCACUUUCAAAAGAUUUGUUUAAACCAAGAGAACAGUUUGCUCAGGAAGUCUUAUGAUUUGAAGGACUGAUAUCCUCAUCUUUGAUUGAAAAGUGCCAUUUCACUGAUGCACUAAAACUCUGUUUUGUUUUUAGAAAAAUGAAAGAAGAAGACAAUAGGAAGUAGAUUAAAGAAUAAUUAUUUUACCUUUGCCACCAUUCACCUUGAAACAAAACUAGCAGGAGUGACUUGAGAAACUGCAAGCUGCUUCUGGUGUGAGCAAAUUGGCCGUCUGCAAAGACUUUGCCCAGGGGACGUCGGAUGCUUUGGUGUUUUUACCAUCCUUGUGGGAGGUUUCUCUCAUGUCACCGCAUGGAGCUAGAGCAGAUAGAAAUCUACGCUUUCCCUGGGUUGGAUUCGAACUGGAAACCUUCAGGCCAGCAACCCAACCUUCAAGUCAUCAGUCCUGCCAGCACAAGGGUUUAACCCACUGUGCCACCAGGGGCUCCUAUUUUAAUGUUGUGACCUCUGUGGAGAUGGAUCUCAGAUGCAGCAAGUUAUGAAACAGAUGUGGUGAGUUAUGUAUGCCAUUGCCUUACCAAAGGUGACAUACAAUGGUGGGGGUGCAGAAACGAUGAACCGCAAAUCAAUCUUUGGUGUCACCAUUCUAUUGCCUUAUAGGAGUAAAUCAUACCAGAAAUCAAAAUGCCAAGUUAGGGAACAGGGAGAACAGCUUGUAAAGGAAGAAGAAACCAUAGACAUAAAAUGCUAGAAGUUGCUGGUGUAAGCCAUCACAUGCUAGAGUGAAUCAGAAUAGAUCAUUUCUACAAGACCACCAGAAAUCAGAGUGUUAAAGGCAUGAGGAGGAAGGAGGAGGAGCGAAGCAUCUACAUUCAUUUGAUCACCUAACACAACAUCAGUCAACAACAGGGAUGCUUUGGGGAUGGAAAGCACACCAAAAACUGCCUUGCAUCACCCAACUUCAUUCUAGAUGGUCAAGAAAAAUACCCUUACAGCAGAUGUUGGAAAAUGAGGAUAAACGCAAGAACUGUAAUUUUGAGUACCAGAAAGGAUGUCUCAUGAAUAAACAAUAGUCUAAGCACAAAAAUCCCCUGCAGUUAUGGUUACGCUACUUGUAGAUGGGAUCUGCCAGUAGAACCAGGGGCUUAGGUAAUUUGGGGCAAUACCAUUCCUCUUUAUUGACUCCACAAUCUCUCAGGGAUCAUCUGAGGAGGAUUCACUUAAGGAAAAAAUGGACCUUUGGUGUUUUCCUCAAUUUAUGCUACAAGGAGCCAUUGCAGCAACAGAUUAGGAGUGAGGGUAGAUGUGGCUCCACCAACCUUUCCCAGACUCUCCUCAACCCCUAAUUUUUAGAAACUUGGAAUUACGGAGGGCAUCUUGGGUACCUCCAAGAAGUAGUUUUCUAUUUAAUCUCUAAUCCAACCAGCCAGGGAACAAGAAAGUCACAACCACAAGUGAUUUAUGGGGAAAUUGUGUAGGGCAACGAUUGUAGAAGCAAAACUUGGUCAUCAUACAUUUUGCAGCUGCUUGGUUUUGGCUUAGGGCACCCACAAAUGCUUCCAAGUAUUGUAUUAUUUUUGAUUAAGUACGACAAAGUAUGCUCUUUCACAUUAUAUACAUAUAUUUUUAUUCCAUUUUAAUGGCAUGGCUCCAUCCUGUGAAAUCUUAGGUUUCCAGUUUAAGGUGGGGUAUUUAGAAUUAUCUGUCAGGCAGCUCUAGUACCUGACCAUAUUACAAUUUUUUUUGUGGUCCUGUAGGGUGCAGCUACAAUAAUAUAGUAUCUAGGUAUUAUAAUGCUGUACAGUGAAGAGAUUUGUUUGUAAGAGACUGGAAUGCUCUUAUGUUGCUAUUGUUAGAAGUGGUCCAAUUCUUUUAGAAUUAUGACAGAAUAAUAACAUGCUUUCUCUUGGUACUAACAUUGUAAUAGCUUCUGCAGAGGGGUGAACAACUUAUGGACUUUCCAACCAUUGCUGGACUGCUGCAUCCAAUAUCCUCCAUGAUUGGCUAUGCUGCUGGGUUUCGUGAGAGGGAAAUAUAGUUGGCUCUCUGCAUUUGCAGGUUCAGCUUUUGCCGAUUUGAUUGAUAUGUUCACUUUCAGAAUCUCUUAAAUACCAUAGAGCACGGUUUCUUAAAUUUUUCUCACUCGUGCUCCUUUCCGCCUGAGAUUUUUUUUAACCUUUUUGCCAAUUUUUAAUGUAGCCCCAGGUAUAUAGGUACAUAAAAUAGGUAUAAAAAUGAAACUUUUACUGAUAAUACACCUGCCUUUGCAAGAUGUGCUAAACAGGGUAAUUUCCUAUGGUGGCGUACAGCUGAAGCAUUUUCUGCAGAGUCCACUGUAAACAUUUCAUGUUGUCACAAACAGAUUUGUUUAAAUGGGUGGUGUUCAAGAAACUUUUACUGUUGUCAAAUUUUUCGUGACCCCAACAUUGAGCUAAAGGGAUCCCAUUUGGGGUCAGGAACCAGUGUAAGAGGUAGUGCCUUAAGGUGACUGUAUGGUCAAAGUGACUCUAUGAUCAAAUUCUAUUACAUGUUUUUGCAGGUGGCCAUAAAAUCACCCUGGAGAAGUGUUCACUUGGGGGGGGGGGGGGAAUAGAGGAUUUUAUGGCUUGAUAUGGAAUUACUGAUUUUUUUUAAAAAAAAUACUGUACACUGUUUCUGGUAGGAUGCAUGUUGCAGCAUUCAGUGGAGGUGUUUAUUUUGUGAACACACCUACCUUGAGCCAGCUUCAAAGUGGAUUUCAGUUUGAAGGGAUGAAUAGAUAUCUCCUAGAUCAAGGUAAAUAAUAAAACCCUCAAGAUAU